rnacentral:rRNA from 1 species
GAUGAACGCUAGCGGCAGGCUUAACACAUGCAAGUCGAGGGGCAGCAUGGUCUUCAGACUGAUGGCGACCGGCAAACGGGUGCGGAACACGUACAGAAUCUGCCUUUAUCUGGGGGAUAGCCUUUGGAAACGAAGAUUAAUACCCCAUAGUAUUAUUAGGUGGCAUCACCUUGAUAAUUAAAGAAUUUCGGAUAGAGAUGACUGUGCGUACUAUUGGCUAGUUGGUAGGGUAACGGCCUACCAAGGCUACGAUAGUUAGCUGAUGUGAGAGCAUGAUCAGCCACACGGGCACUGAGACACGGGCCCGACUCCUACGGGAGGCAGCAGUGAGGAAUAUUGGUCAAUGGGCGCAAGCCUGAACCAGCCAUGCCGCGUGAAGGAUGAAGGCGUUCUGCGUCGUAAACUUCUUUUACCUGGGAAGAAACCUACCUUUUCUAAGGUAGCCGACGGUACCAGAGGAAUAAGCACCGGCUAACUCCGUGCCAGCCGCCGCCGUAA